GCUUGUCUGGCUCUAGGGGUCAAGGUUUGUCUGGAAAGAGACAGUGUGUCCCAGUUUACAUAGUAUCCAUUUUAAGGAGCAUGCAUGAGUUUGUCCCAAAUUAUAUAUUAAUAUGUUGAUAUUUUUAUUUGCUACUAUUUACACUUAUGUUGUUUUAUUAAUUGAUAUUCAUAUUUUUCUGGCAGGUUCACCCAGUGUGGUGUGAUAUUAUGGAUGCUAUUAGAGGUGUUAGGAUAGUUACAUAGAUUUGUGGGUGAACUAUUCCUCUAAUAUCUAGUCAUUUGGCCUCUCAAGUAAAUGUCUUGUGAUUUAAGAAUGUUUAGAUAUUUGUACUGGACAACAAGACAAAAAUACUGUGUAAGAAUUCAUUCUUUACAGUGUAUAAUUAUAAACCUGAGAAAUAUCCACUGCAUUUAAGUGUGACAACUAGCCCCGCUUUAUAUACUUUCCCACCACCAGAGAAGUACAUACAAAUUGGGACGAGCGCUUCAGAGAAUAUUAACCUGGAUAAUAAACUUCUCUUUGAAUUCCAUCAGGUUCCUGUGAGACACGUCGUUUUUUGAAGGCAGAUCUUUGAGGCACAAAGGACUGAACUAUGUAUGCUGAGAUCUGAAAACCCAUGCAGCACCACAGCAGAGAACGAGAACAUGCGGGUGGCCCGUUCCCCUCCCACCGACACAUCUGUACUGGGUCCCGCUGGUAGUUCUGGUGUGCCACGCUGCAGUGUACGAUGGGUUCUUGACCAGUCAUCUUAGGGGCAGCAAUAUGGCAAUCAGAUGUUUGAGCUGUAGAAGAUAGAGGCGGUGUUUGUUACACCAGGGAUCAUUCGCAUCUGAGUGCAGACAAUCAGGUUGUCAAGCCUUCAGUUUCAUGCUGAGUCUGUUAAUUGGCUCUCCAGUUCACACACAGUCUUCGUUCUUCUCUCCGAAGGUAAUGGAGAUGGUCUUCACAGAAAAGAAGAUACUGUAAUUGAGCUCAAUCACUCAUAGACAUCCAACGGUCAAUCAGUGGAGGCUUCUUUGGAGACCUGGAAUAUGUUGGCCUCAUCAAUACCAACCGUGGGAAGAGCUCAAUUCUCUGUGGUGUUUUAAGAUGCUGAUAAAAUGGUAAGUGGGAAGGUAUGCUAUAAAAUAAUUGUAUAAUGCGAUUUUGUCUGAGAUAUUUCUUUUAAUCUAGUAGUCAGUUGCUAAGCAGCUGGUAUAAGUGGCUUGUCAUAAUAAGCAUUGUCAGGUAGACUGUUAUUUUAAGGGGUUGUGUUUUUGUCAAAGAUAAUGAUC
ensembl:lncRNA